UGGGGAAUAUUGCGCAAUGGGGGAAACCCUGACGCAGCCAUGCCGCGUGAGUGAAGAAGGUCUUCGGAUCGUAAAGCUCUUUCAACGGUGAAGAUGAUGACGGUAGCCGUAGAAGAAGCCCCGGCUAACUUCGUGCCAGCAGCCGCGGUAAUACGAAGGGGGCAAGCGUUGUUCGGAAUUACUGGGCGUAAAGGGCGUGUAGGCGGUCUAAUCAGUCAGUGGUGAAAGCCCUGGGCUCAACCCAGGAAUUGCCUUUGAUACUGUUAGACUAGAGUUCGGGAGAGGAUAGUGGAAUUCCCAGUGUAGAGGUGAAAUUCGUAGAUAUUGGGAAGAACACCAGUGGCGAAGGCGGCUAUCUGGACCGAUACUGACGCUGAGGCGCGAAAGCGUGGGGAGCAAACAGGAUUAGAUACCCUGGUAGUCCACGCCGUAAACGAUGUCUGCUAGUCGUUGGGGGGCCGUAGCCCUUCAGUGGACGCCGCUAACGCAUUAAGCAGACCGCCUGGGGAGUACGGCCGC
rnacentral:rRNA from 1 species